rnacentral:lncRNA from 1 species
UUUUUUUUUUUUUUUUUUUUUUUUUUUGAGGAGUCUUGCUCUGUCACCCAGGCUGGAGUGCAGUGGUGCAAUCUUGGCUCACUGCAAGCUCUCCCUCCCGGGUUCAACCCUUUCUCCUGCCUCAGCCUCCCGAAUAGCCGGGACUACCGGCGCCUGCCACCAUGCCUGGCUAAUUUUUUGUAUUUUUAGUAGAGACGGGGUUUCACCAUGUUAGCCAGGAUGGUCUCGAUCUCCUGACCUCGUGAUCCGCCCACCUUGGCCUCCCAAAGUGCUGGGAUUACAGGCGUGAGCCACCGUGCCCGGCCAAGUAGCACAUUUUGUUAUGUUACAUAUGCCAUCCAUUUUUCCAAGUUACUGAUUUAAUAUUUAAAACCUAACAUUUAUACAGCCCUUUCUAGUUUAUAAAAUACCUUCACAUCAUUGGUCUCAUUUCACAUUCUUCAGUUGUGCUAAAUGAUUUCAUAAACUUGGUGAUACUGAUAUUAAGUGCUUGUAACGAAUGUGAUUCUGAUUAACAAAAGCAAUUUGAUAUAUUUGCUUCUAUGCCCUGUACAUCCAGUUAUUAAAGUUUAAUGUUGCAUGAUGACCUGAUUUCUGAAAGAUUCCUAUACAUGCAGCCAAAGGGUUUAAGAGGAAUCAUACUGUUAAGAAGGGAAAUAUUAGAAAGUGGAUAUAGAAUUAGGUGAGCCAGGCUAAAAUGGAUGAUUCUGCUAACAUAGCUGAGUUAUUAAAUCUGCACUUUUUAUGCCAAAGUCCACAAGGAAAAUCUCCAGAGUAAUAAAGUUUGAUCUCUUUAGGAUCUAUCACUUCCAGGCAAUUUAAUCGAUUUUCAGAAUUUCUGUGGUUCCAAGUUUCCUGGAUGUACUUGGAUAUUCUUCCAGAGCUGGCAGUUAAGGAAACAAAGUUAACAGAUGUUGAAGCAUUCUGGAAAUUGGGACCAGAAAUCAAGUGCAAUUCUACUUCCAUAAACUUGACUAUAAGGGCCAAAUAAAUUAUAUAAAACAUAUUUAAUGCUGCUUUUAAUAAUGGUAAAAAGUUUGAAACCUGGAAUGCAGAAAACUUAGACAGAUUUUUUAUUUUUUUAAUGAGGUAAAGUCUCUUACCAACAUAAGUGUGUAUACUAGAGGGACAAAAAGAAUAUGUAUGAUAGAAUUACAAAGUUCUUAUGGAAGUUCUGUCUGAAGCCCUUUCAAAUAAUGUUUGAAAAAAUAAGAGAAUAACCUGAAACUUAAAAGCUUUUUGAGAGUGAAACAUUUUCUUUCUUAGUAAAUUAUAAAAGGCUAUAGUGUAACAAUUAUAGGCAGGUAGAAUAACAUGAACAUGUCUUCCUAAUAAGAGAUAACAAGAGCUAACUUGUAAUGGUGUGUUUACAAUGCUCCAGGUGUCUUCUGUUCCACAGACAAG